rnacentral:lncRNA from 1 species
AGAUGUUACCGCCUACAUGGAUACCCACCGGGCCUCAAGCCCAAGCCCAAAACACGUUUUAAUGAUGGAACUGUGCAAGCCCAAAAACAAACCCACAAUGCUCCAGCUAUUUUUGAUGAGGGGUCUGUCCAAACGCAGGCCCAAGCCCGUAAUCCACCAGCUAUCUCUCGGCCCACUCAUGGAACCAAUUUUUUCAACCCGUCUGGCC